UUGAAAGUUCAAAGUUCACACUUUUUUUGUGAAAAACUGAUUUUCAUUAGAUUCCUUUUUUUUGUUGGAUUUUGGGGAGAAGAUUCAAAAGGGUCAUUGAAUAUAUAGUUAAGUUUUGAUUUUGUUAAGUGGGUUGCAAUGGAAGAUGAAUGUAGAACACCAAGGUUGUUGCAGAAUCAGAUUCCGGCUGUUUUCAUUUGUCCACCGCCGCCGAGGAAGAAGCCGGUUCCUGGAA
rnacentral:lncRNA from 1 species